UGUCGUCUUCUUGAGGGGUGUACAAAAUGGGGAGUUUAAUAAUAAUCCUCUGAAACGUGAAAUGAAUUACUUAGUGUCUACUGCAAGCCAGGCUCUUGCGGACACAAGGCUGUUUGGGGACAACAGUCUAACCUUCAAAAGAUGUGUAAGAGUGUUCUGUUGGGAAUGGCAGCUGGCAGAGCAGCAUAUAUAAGAUGGUUAUGUUCACAUUUUUUAAAGUGUGUGUAUCCUUUAUAACUAUGUUUUUGUACCUAGAAAAAUAUGUAAAUUUAUACCUAGAAAAUAUCUGAAAGGUUAUGUAUUAAACUGUUAAUGGGGUGGAUUGGUGGCUUAUAGGGUAGGGGGCUAGGCAUUUUCACUUUUAAUACCUGUAUUUUUUUUGAGGAUUUGUUUUACUUGGGUGUCACAUUCAUAAUUUUUAAUCCUUUAAGGAGAAAAUGUGCUUAUUAAAUUUUUGGUCUCUGAAUGCUCCCAAGUCUUAGUCAUACAGAACAGCAUGCUGCAACUGUUUACAAUUCCUAAAACUGUAAACUCCUCAAGGACUUGGAGGCUAAACAUGAAGAAUAUAAAAUUAAGUUGACAAUCACUGUCUCUGUGCAUAACACUGACUUCACUUCUCUUGAGAAAUGUGCAUCUGCUAAUCCAUAUUUAUUACUUUUUAGGGGUGGGUGAACCCAUAAAUAAGAUACUGUUCUUUGAAUGCCUUUAGCUGGUGUUAUUUACCAGUAAUGCUUGGAGAAAGAAUCCAAAAUUACCCCCACUAAAAUGCUCACGACCCAAUUGUUUCUGUGUUUGUCAAAGUGUUUCUGGUAUAUUCUAGAAUAUACCAAAGAUAAUUACUUGAAUCAUUUAGAAAAUUUUACAUUAUAUCCUCUUAUAAGGCACUUGGAAAUUCACCCUUUUUUUUUUUCGGCUUGGCUUUCUAAAUGUACUUUAACAUCAAUUUAUAAUAUUAAGAGUUCCUAAGGAGAGAGAUUUCUUAGAAGAAUAAUCAGCUUGCCCUUCCCCUGCUUGUGCCGUGUACCCUGUAACACUAUGUUUGGAUUCCAGCAUCAGAUGGUGAGUUCUACUUUUGGUUUGUAAAAUCAUGUGGGAUUGUGUUUGGAAACUGCCUUUCAGGUGAAGUUCUUUUUGCUGGCCUCCAGAUAAUUAGUAACUUACUGAUGUAUUGCUUGGACCCUUGCAUUGUGUAAUAUAUGCUUCUGUUAAUAUGUGAAUGUCCAUGAAGGUUGGUUGGUAUAUAGGUCAGGAGCACCUGGCUUUUAAGGAGUCUUGUAAUUACUGUAUCGCCUGCUUUAAGUAGAAACAUGGAAGCUCAAUUAAGCACCAGAAAUUUCUUCUGAAGCUCCUACUUUUAAUGAGUUAGCACUGUUGCCUGGAUUUAUGAAUGGGCAGAUUUUGAAAAUGAGGUUCUUCAUUGUCAUCGUGGAAUUGAGUUCUGCUUAUUUUCAGACAUGCAGCUGAUAAAUCUCUCCUUAAUGAUUCCAGAAGGAAAAGGAAGGGAUGGAGUUUAGAGUUUUUUAUUUCUUUUGUCAAGGUAGUUUUAUUUUCUAGUUCAGGUACAUCAGUGAGUAAUAGUAGAGAUACAUUCUUGGCUGUUUUAGGAGAGUUAAGAGAACAUUUCAUUUAAAUGUAAAUGUUUAAAAUCAAAGAAAUGUUCCUGCAUAUGUACAGUUUUUACCUUUAAUCUUGUUUAACUGAUUUUUCUAGUCUUCAAGGAAAACUAUUUGAUUUUCACAUCUAUGAUGAGAGAAAACAGAAAAAUUGUCAAGAGUAAGAAUUGAUUUGACAUUACUUUUGAGAGUUAUCUGCUUCUUUUGCAAGUCAUAAUUUUUCAUUUUAUAGCUUUUAUACUAGGCACCUCAUUUUUCAAUGAUUUGUUUUGGUUCCAGGAUGUUGCCUUCCUGGAGAAACUGAUUAAAGAUGAUAUAGAGCGAGGAAGACUGCCCCUGUUGCUUGUCGCAAAUGCAGGUAGGUAGCAUGAUGCUGAAUCUACCAUUUUGAAUAUAUAGGAGCGAGGCUACGUCCUCAGCCUAUAAAAGAUAAAGUCUUAAGAAAUGUGUGUGUACCGCAUGUUUAAGAUAGUCCAUAUCCACAUUGUAGCAAAAACUGUAAUAGUAAGGUUGGCUCGGUAGAUUUUUCUUUAAUCGUUGGUUUGUUUUGGAAGUUAUUUUA
rnacentral:lncRNA from 1 species